CGCAUGAGACCACAGAGCUGCAUGGCUUAGGGGUCAAAGAUUUAUCGGUAGAGGGUGGGCUCGCGUCUGAUUAGGUAGUUGGUGAGGUAACGGCCCACCAAGCCGACGAUCAGUAGCCGACCUGAGAGGGUGAUCGGCCACAUUGGGACUGAGACACGGCCCAAACUCCUACGGGAGGCAGCAGUGGGGAAUAUUGGGCAAUGGGGGAAACCCUGACCCAGCAACGCCGCGUGGAGGAAGAAGGUUUUCGGAUCGUAAACUCCUGUCCUCAGGGAAGAGCAGAAGACGGUACCUGAGGAGGAAGCCCCGGCUAACUACGUG
rnacentral:rRNA from 1 species